rnacentral:misc_RNA from 1 species
GAUGAAGAACGUAGCGAAACGCGAUAAGUAAUGUGAAUUGCAGAAUCCAGUGAAUCAUCGAAUCUUUGAACGCACAUUGCGCCCGCCAGCAUUCUGGCGGGCAUGCCUGUUCGAGCGUCAUUUCAACCCUCGACCUCCCCUUGGGGAGGUCGGCGUUGGGGACCGGCAGCACACCGCCGGCCCUGAAAUGGAGUGGCGGCCCGUCCGCGGCGACCUCUGCGCAGUAAUACAGCUCGCGCCGGGACCCCGACGCGGCCACGCCGUAAAACACCCAACUUCUGAACGUUGACCUCGAAUCAGGUAGGACUACCCGCUGAACUUAAGCAUAUCAAUAAGCGGAGGA